GAUGAACGCUAGCGGCAGGCCUAACACAUGCAAGUCGAGGGGUAACAUAGAAAAGCUUGCUUUUCUGAUGACGACCGGCGCACGGGUGCGUAACGCGUAUACAACCUACCUUUUAGCGGGGAAUAGCCCAGGGAAACUUGGAUUAAUGCCUCAUAGUAUAUAAGCUUCUCCUGAAGUUUAUAUUAAACAUUUAUGGCUAUUAGAUGGGUAUGCGUCCUAUUAGUUAGUUGGUAAGGUAACGGCUUACCAAGGCAGCGAUAGGUAGGGGUCCUGAGAGGGAGAUCCCCACACUGGUACUGAGACACGGACCAGACUCCUACGGGAGGCAGCAGUGAGGAAUAUUGGACAAUGGGCGAGAGCCUGAUCCAGCCAUGCCGCGUGCAGGAAGACUGCCCUAUGGGUUGUAAACUGCUUUUUACAGAGGAAGAACCACCCCCACGUGUGGGGGGUUUGACGGUACUCUGCGAAUAAGGAUCGGCUAACUCCGUG
rnacentral:rRNA from 1 species